AGAGUUUGAUCCUGGCUCAGAACGAACGCUGGCGGCAUGCCUAACACAUGCAAGUCGAACGCUUUUGCGGUUUCGGCCGCAAGGGAGUGGCGGACGGGUGAGUAGCGCGUGGGAACCUGCCCCUUUGUGGGGGAUAACCGAGGGAAACUUCGGCUAAUACCGCAUGCGCCCCUGGGGGAGACCUUGGGGGGAAAGAUUUA
rnacentral:rRNA from 1 species